rnacentral:lncRNA from 1 species
CUUGGAAUCCAAUUGUCCAAAGAGCUACUCUCUCUCUUCAGCCAUCGCUGACCUUAUGAACAUUAAAGACUGUCCUGGGAUGCAUUUGGAGCCAGGAAUCUUUGUGUUUGAACCAAAAUCCAACUCUAAUCCACAGACAUCAAGCUCUCAUGUCAACAGGACAGAAUACUAUAAGUAGAAGCUUUUUCAGUUGGAUUUUGCUCUGGGUAAAUGAAUUCAAACACAGUGAAGCAGGAGGCGGG